GGUUUAUUAUAUUAAUCGAAGUUGUUUAUUUUUAGUAGAAUGAUCUAAUCAGCAACCUCAAAGCGUCCGACCAAUCUUGCAAAGAACAGCAUUUGUUGUUCCAGCGUAAAUUUUAUAUUCUCGGCCUUGCGAAAGCCGUGUUGUUCUCCUUCGAAUUCAAUUAAAGCAACAGGGAGGCCCUUCUCUUUCAGUGCUUCGUAGAUCUUACGGGCUUGAGUAGGUGGCACAACUUUGUCAUCCAAUCCCUGGAACAAGAUUAAUGGACAAGAAAAUUUUUCAACAAAAUUAAUUGGCGACCUUUCAUAAUAUUCUCUUUCAC
rnacentral:misc_RNA from 1 species